rnacentral:rRNA from 1 species
CGUGGGGAUCUGCCCAGUAGUGGGGAACAACUCCGAGAAAUCGGAGCUAAUACCGCAUACGGUCUGUUGUGAAAGCAACGAGACUAAAGCCAGUAAUGGCGCUAUUGGAGGAACCUGCGGCUGAUUAGCUAGUUGGUGGGGUAAAGGCCUACCAAGGCGAUGAUCAGUAGCUGGUCUGAGAGGAUGGACAGCCACACUGGGACUGAGAUACGGCCCAG